UUCGAUUAGAGUUUGAUCAUGGCUCAGAGCGAACGCUGGCGGCAGGCUUAACACAUGCAAGUCGAACGAUAAGCUAGACUUCGGUUUAGUGGACAGUGGCAGACGGGUGAGUAACGCGUGGGAAUCUACCUUUGAGUGGGGAAUAACAAUUAGAAAUGAUUGCUAAUACCGCAUACACCCUCCGGGGGAAAGGCUUCGGCCGCUCUUAGAUGAGCCCGCGUACGAUUAGUUUGUUGGUGAGGUAAAGGCUCACCAAGACUACGAUCGUUAGCUGGUUUGAGAGGAUGAUCAGCCACACUGGGACUGAGACACGGCCCAGACUCCUACGGGAGGCAGCAGUGGGGAAUAUUGGACAAUGGGCGAAAGCCUGAUCCAGCCAUGCCGCGUGAGUGAAGAAGGCCUUAGGGUUGUAAAACUCUUUCGACAGGGAAGAUAAUGACGGUACCUGUAUAAGAAGCUCCGGCUAACUCCGUGCCAGCAGCCGCGGUAAUACGGAGGGGGCAAGCGUUGCUCGGAAUUACUGGGCGUAAAGCGAGCGUAGGCGGUUAGUCAAGUUGGUGGUGAAAGCCCGGAGCUCAACUCCGGAACUGCCAUCAAAACUGACUUACUUGAGAUUGGUAGAGGAAAAUGGAAUUCCUAGUGUAGAGGUGAAAUUCGUAGAUAUUGGGAAGAACAUCGGUGGCGAAGGCGAUUUUCUGGGCCAUAUCUGACGCUGAGGUUCGAAAGCCAGGGGAGCGAAAGGGAUUAGAUACCCCUGUAGUCCUGGCCGUAAACGAUGAACACUAGGUGUCGGGGGAAUCGACCCCUUCGGUGUCGUAGCUAACGCGUUAAGUGUUCCGCCUGGGGAGUACGCACGCAAGUGUGAAACUCAAAGGAAUUGACGGGGGCCCGCACAAGCGGUGGAGUAUGUGGUUUAAUUCGAUGCAACGCGAAGAACCUUACCAGGGUUUGACAUCCUGCGAACCUCUUAGAAAUUUGAGGGUGCCUUCGGGAAUGCAGUGACAGGUGGUGCAUGGCUGUCGUCAGCUCGUGUCGUGAGAUGUUGGGUUAAGUCCCGCAACGAGCGCAACCCACGUUUUUAGUUGCCAGCAUUUAGUUGGGCACUCUAGAAAGACCGCCGGUGAUAAACCGGAGGAAGGUGUGGAUGACGUCAAGUCAUCAUGCCCCUUACACCCUGGGCUACACACGUACUACAAUGCUACGGACAAAGGGCAGCAAACUCGCGAGAGCUAGCAAAUCCCAUAAACCGUGGCUCAGUUUAGAUCGUAGGCUGCAACUCGCCGUACGUGAAGUAGGAAUCGCUAGUAAUCGCAGGUCAGCAUACUGCGGUGAAUACGUUCCCGGGCCUUGUACACACCGCCCGUA
rnacentral:rRNA from 1 species